UAGGGAAUCUUCCGCAAUGGGCGAAAGCUUGACGGAGCAACGCCGCGUGAGUGAUGAAGGUCUUCGGAUCGUAAAACUCUGUUAUUAGGGAAGAACAAAUGUGUAAGUAACUAUGCACGUCUUGACGGUACCUAAUCAGAAAGCCACGGCUAACUACGUGCCAGCAGCCGCGGUAAUACGUAGGUGGCAAGCGUUAUCCGGAAUUAUUGGGCGUAAAGCGCGCGUAGGCGGUUUUUUAAGUCUGAUGUGAAAGCCCACGGCUCAACCGUGGAGGGUCCUUGGAAACUGGAAAACUUGAGUGCAGAAGAGGAAAGUGGAAUUCCAUGUGUAGCGGUGAAAUGCGCAGAGUUAUGGAGGAACACCAGUGGCGAAGGCGACUUUCUUGUCUAUAACUGACGCUGAUGUGCGAAAGCGUGGGGAUCAAACAGG
rnacentral:rRNA from 1 species